rnacentral:piRNA from 1 species
UGCUAUGACUGCCUUAGGCCCUCUUG